AAUGAACGCUGGCGGCAGGCCUAACACAUGCAAGUCGAACGGAUCCUUCGGGAUUAGUGGCGGACGGGUGAGUAACGCGUGGGAACAUACCCUUUGGUACGGAAUAGCCUCGGGAAACUGGGAGUAAUACCGUAUGUGGUCGAGAGACGAAAGAUUUAUCGCCAAAGGAUUGGCCCGCGUUGGAUUAGGUAGUUGGUGGGGUAAUGGCCUACCAAGCCGACGAUCCAUAGCUGGUUUGAGAGGAUGAUCAGCCACACUGGGACUGAGACACGGCCCAGACUCCUACGAGAGGCAGCAGUGGGGAAGCUUAGACAAUGGGGGAAACCCUGAUCGAGCCAUGCCGCGUGAUCGAUGAAGGCCUUAGGGUUGUAAAGAUCUUUCAGGUGGGAAGAUAAUGACUGUACCACCAGAAGAAGCCCCGGCUAACUCCGUGCCAGCCGCCGCCGUAA
rnacentral:rRNA from 1 species